UUUUGAUUGCAGUAUUUCCUCCUUGCUCUUUGAUCGCCAGCAUUUUUAUGGUGUCUUCAUGUCGGGGGAAACCUUUACCUACCUUAGGUUGGCAGGAGCUAGGGCUAACAGCAGGAGCUCACCCUCCAGCCCUGUGGCUUCGGACUGCCAAAUUGAGAUGGUGGGCGAAUCUACCACAUGGUCGAUUCCAAGGUUUCCGAGGCUUGGUUUGUGAUGCGCCCGGAUCCUUCUCACCCGUGUCUCCUUCUCUGUGUCCCCUCUGCAGAUCACCUUCUUCACGCUCCUCUCGGUCCUGGGGAUCAUGCUGAGCCUGGCGGGCUCCAUCCUCUCCUGCCGACACGCCCAGCAGGUCAAGGAGCAGGAGGUCUGCGAGCGGCUCAAGCACCAGGAGAGCCUCCGUCCACAGGAGAACCACCGCCUGGACCCUCUGGGGAGACACCACGGCGGCGCCGUCUCCCAGCUGAACGUGGGCACGAACAGGAACCGUUUUGCGCAGGUGUUCCCCCCAACUGAGCAAAACAAGCAGUGCAAUUCCGAAGCGAUCUGCAGAAACAGCCCAGACCGGGUUCCCGACUGUUCUCGGCUCCUCUUGGUCAUCAAGGUGCGUUGGGACAUAGAAUGCUGCAUUGGGCU
rnacentral:lncRNA from 11 species